rnacentral:rRNA from 1 species
CCGGGGGUGGAGUAAUGUCUGGGAAACUAGCCUGAUGGAGGGGGAUAACUGCUGGAAACGGUAGCUAAUACCGCAUAACGUCGCAAGACCAAAGAGGGGGACCGUUCGGGCCUCUUGCCAUCGGAUGUGCCCAGAUGGGAUUAGCUAGUAGGUGGGGUAACGGCUCACCUAGGCGACGAUCCCUAGCUGGUCUGAGCGGAUGACCAGCCACACUGGAACUGAGACACGGUCCAG